UGAUGACAGUGAGGAGAGGAG
rnacentral:misc_RNA from 1 species